rnacentral:rRNA from 1 species
CCUUCGGGAACUCUGACACAGGUGCUGCAUGGCUGUCGUCCUAGCUCGUGUCGUGAGAUGUUGGGUUAAGUCCGUAACGAGCGCAACCCUUGUCCUUAGUUACCAGCACGUUAUGGUGGGCACUCUAAGGAGACUGCCGGUGACAAACCGGAGGAAGGUGGGGAUGACGUCAAGUCAUCAUGGCCCUUACGGCCUGGGCUACACACGUGCUACAAUGGUCGGUACAAAGGGUUGCCAAGCCGCGAGGUGGAGCUAAUCCCAUAAAACCGAUCGUAGUCCGGAUCGCAGUCUGCAACUCGACUGCGUGAAGUCGGAAUCGCUAGUAAUCGUGAAUCAGAAUGUCACGGUGAAUACGUUCCCGGGCCUU